AAGGAAUCUCUCCAAGGAAACCUGGAACAAACUCAAAAGUGAGGAAAGCAAAUGAAGCAAAGACAUAACAAAGACCUAGACUUCAUGUACCUCACUUAGUUGUAGAGUGCAAGUACCUGCCCUUUUGCUCCUCCCUCCCCUGUUGGCUGGCUGGCAUCUGAUUGUCUGCACACAAGAAUCAAGCCCAGCACAUCAUAUGGUUUGCUGCUCACAUGUUCAGACAGCCAGAACUAGAGAGCUGGAAGGUGCUUUUGUGUGCACCACAGGACUGGACCUAGAAGGGGCCUCUGAUCCUAUGUGCACCAUACGCAUAUAUUUGGUGCCUAUCAUUGCACUGCAAUGCUACCCAUAGUGGGAAAGGUAAGAGGCCAUUCUGGCUCUGUUCUUCCUAAGCACCUGAAAUCAUGG